GGGGGCGUACUGGUUUCGACGGGGGAAGCAUUGGCAGGAGUUGCCAGGCGAGAUCCCACCUUCUCGUUAAACGGUGGACCCCAAUAAGUGCCAACGAAGAACUAGCUCUGGCUGCCUAAACUAAAGCGGCCACAUCCACCCGGGUCUAGCCCGCAAGAUCUGGAGUGGGUGUAAUCUAUAGCGGGCUAUCCCUAGGGCCUCCGCCUUGCGGGCCCAGGGAGAAAUUUAAAGCAGGCUGGCCCCGGAGGCACCUAGUUUCCGGGGGGCGCCGGGGCGAGAUAUAAAGCGGAAACUAUCCUGGUAGACGCUCCUGUGGGUGUUCCUUCGGACGGGGGUUCAACUCCCCCCGCCUCCACCA
rnacentral:tmRNA from 1 species